GAAAUGCGAUAAGUAAUGUGAAUUGCAGAAUUCAGUGAAUCAUCGAAUCUUUGAACGCACCUUGCGCUCCUUGGUAUUCCUUGGAGCAUGCCUGUUUGAGUAUCAUGAAAUCUUCAAAGUAAAUCUUUUGUUAACUCAAUUGGUUUCUACUUUGGUAUUGGAGGUCUUUGCAGCUUCACACCUGCUCCUCUUUGUUCAUUAGCUGGAUCUCAGUGUUAUGCUUGGUUCCACUCGGCGUGAUAAGUUAUCUAUCGCAGAGGACACCGUAAAAGGUGGCCAAGGUAAAUGCAGAUGAACCGCUUCUAAUAGUCCAUUGACUUGGACAAUACUUUUAUGAUCUGAUCUCAAAUCAGGUAGGACUACCCGCUGAACUUAAGC
rnacentral:misc_RNA from 1 species